AAACCCUAAAGACCCCUGGAUUGGCGACGGUGGACCCCCUACGCCCACACCCUUCGUCGCUCUCUCUCUUUGAUUUGGUUCACCGACGAGCCAACAACACCAGCCGCACCCACCUGCCUUCUCUCUCUUUGUCCGGAGUGAUUCCGACGGUUAACCAGUGGGAUCCUUCCCCUCCGACGGUUGUCGUUGAUGAUGAUGAUGUUCACGACUGAUUCAGAAGAGAAAGGUUUCUAGUGACGGUGGCGAUGAUGAUUUCCGGCGAUCGUGGUUCGAGAUAAAACCUUCGGAUGGUGAUGAGGAUGUCGGGGAUGGUGAUAACCGGAGAAGAUAAUGAUGAGAUGACGACGCCGGGACUGUCGUUAGGUAUUUUGGAUUUGGGAACUUGCUGUCUGGAGUAGCUGGAGUGGUCAUGGGUCGACAGGAAGGAUUUAUGUGAUUGAUUUCAUGAAACUAUACUUGGGUUUUGAAACAGUUUAACUUCGUUUAUUAUUUGCUUCCGCUGAACUUAUUGGUUUUCGUU
rnacentral:lncRNA from 1 species